ensembl:misc_RNA 7SK 7SK RNA
GGGUGUGAGGGCGAUCUGGCUGUGACUUCGGCCACACCAUUGAUUGCCAGUGUUGAUUUGGCUGAUCUGGCUGGCUAGGCGGGUGUCCCCUUCCUCCCUCACUGCUCCAUGUGCGUCCCUCACGAAGCUGAGGAUGACCACCCCCAGUGGCAGAGGACUGUUUCCUUGGUCAAGGGAACCUGCUAGAACCUCCAAACAAGCUCUCAAGGUCCUGGUAGCAAAAAUAAACAAAUAAAUAAAACUAAGUAAACUGACGUGGGAAGGAAAUCACAAAAUGAUUCUCCCUU